rnacentral:rRNA from 1 species
GGAUACCCGCUGAACUUAAGCAUAUCA